rnacentral:rRNA from 1 species
AUUGAACGCUGGCGGAAUGCUUUACACAUGCAAGUCGAACGGUAGAGGGGGCAACCCCUUGAGAGUGGCGAACGGGUGAGUAAUAUAUCGGAACGUGCCCAGUCGUGGGGAUAACGUAGCGAAAGCUACGCUAAUACCGCAUACGAUCUAUGGAUGAAAGCGGGGGAUCGCAAGACCUCGCGCGAUUGGAGCGGCCGAUAUCAGAUUAGGUAGUUGGUGAGGUAAAGGCUCACCAAGCCGACGAUCUGUAGCUGGUCUGAGAGGACGACCAGCCACACUGGGACUGAGACACGGCCCAGACUCCUACGGGAGGCAGCAGUGGGGAAUUUUGGACAAUGGCGCAAGCCUGAUCCAGCAAUGCCGCGUGCAGGAUGAAGG